rnacentral:rRNA from 1 species
GAGUUUGAUUCUGGCUCACGACGAACGCUGGCGGCGGGCUUAAUACAUGCAAGUCGAACGAGAAGCUCUAAUUUAUUAGAGUGGAGAGUGGCGCACGGGUGAGUAACACGUAGGCAACCUGCCCCUGAGAGUGGAAUAACUAUUGGAAACGAUAGCUAAUACCGCAUAUUGUCUGAGAAGCGCAUGUUUCUCAGAUGAAAGCUCCGGCGCUCAGGGAUGGGCCUGCGGCAGAUUAGCUUGUUGGUAGGGUAAUGGCCUACCAAGGCAACGAUCUGUAGCUGGUCUGAGAGGAUGAUCAGUCACACUGGCACUGAGACACGGGCCAGACGUCUACGGACGGCAGCAGUAAGGAAUAUUGCGCAAUGGGCGAAAGCCUGACGCAGCCCCGCCGCGUGGAGGAAGACACCCCUAUGGGGCGUAAACUCCUUUUUAUAUGAGAAGAAUGCCUUGGUCGCCAAGGAGAGACGGUAUCAUAUGAAUAAGCACCGGGCUAACUCCGUGCCCAG